rnacentral:rRNA from 1 species
UUAAGCGACUAAGCGUACACGGUGGAUGCCCUGGCAGUCAGAGGCGAUGAAGGACGUGCUAAUCUGCGAUAAGCGUCGGUAAGGUGAUAUGAACCGUUAUAACCGGCGAUUUCCGAAUGGGGAAACCCAGUGUGAUUCGUCACACUAUCAUUAACUGAAUCCAUAGGUUAAUGAGGCGAACCGGGGGAACUGAAACAUCUAAGUACCCCGAGGAAAAGAAAUCAACCGAGAUUCCCCCAGUAGCGGCGAGCGAACGGGGAGAGCCCAGAGCCUGAAUCAGUGUGUGUGUUAGUGGAAGCGUCUGGAAAGGCGCGCGAUACAGGGUGACAGCCCCGUACACAAAAAUGCACAUGCUGUGAGCUCGAUGAGUAGGGCGGGACACGUGGUAUCCUGUCUGAAUAUGGGGGGACCAUCCUCCAAGGCUAAAUACUCCUGACUGACCGAUAGUGAACCAGUACCGUGAGGGAAAGGCGAAAAGAACCCCGGCGAGGGGAGUGAAAAAGAACCUGAAACCGUGUACGUACAAGCAGUGGGAGCCUCUUUAUGGGGUGACUGCGUACCUUUUGUAUAAUGGGUCAGCGACUUAUAUUCUGUAGCAAGGUUAACCGAAUAGGGGAGCCGAAGGGAAACCGAGUCUUAACUGGGCGUUAAGUUGCAGGGUAUAGACCCGAAACCCGGUGAUCUAGCCAUGGGCAGGUUGAAGGUUGGGUAACACUAACUGGAGGACCGAACCGACUAAUGUUGAAAAAUUAGCGGAUGACUUGUGGCUGGGGGUGAAAGGCCAAUCAAACCGGGAGAUAGCUGGUUCUCCCCGAAAGCUAUUUAGGUAGCGCCUCGUGAAUUCAUCUCCGGGGGUAGAGCACUGUUUCGGCAAGGGGGUCAUCCCGACUUACCAACCCGAUGCAAACUGCGAAUACCGGAGAAUGUUAUCACGGGAGACACACGGCGGGUGCUAACGUCCGUCGUGAAGAGGGAAACAACCCAGACCGCCAGCUAAGGUCCCAAAGUCAUGGUUAAGUGGGAAACGAUGUGGGAAGGCCCAGACAGCCAGGAUGUUGGCUUAGAAGCAGCCAUCAUUUAAAGAAAGCGUAAUAGCUCACUGGUCGAGUCGGCCUGCGCGGAAGAUGUAACGGGGCUAAACCAUGCACCGAAGCUGCGGCAGCGACACUAUGUGUUGUUGGGUAGGGGAGCGUUCUGUAAGCCUGUGAAGGUGGCCUGUGAGGGUUGCUGGAGGUAUCAGAAGUGCGAAUGCUGACAUAAGUAACGAUAAAGCGGGUGAAAAGCCCGCUCGCCGGAAGACCAAGGGUUCCUGUCCAACGUUAAUCGGGGCAGGGUGAGUCGACCCCUAAGGCGAGGCCGAAAGGCGUAGUCGAUGGGAAACAGGUUAAUAUUCCUGUACUUGGUGUUACUGCGAAGGGGGGACGGAGAAGGCUAUGUUGGCCGGGCGACGGUUGUCCCGGUUUAAGCGUGUAGGCUGGUUUUCCAGGCAAAUCCGGAAAAUCAAGGCUGAGGCGUGAUGACGAGGCACUACGGUGCUGAAGCAACAAAUGCCCUGCUUCCAGGAAAAGCCUCUAAGCAUCAGGUAACAUCAAAUCGUACCCCAAACCGACACAGGUGGUCAGGUAGAGAAUACCAAGGCGCUUGAGAGAACUCGGGUGAAGGAACUAGGCAAAAUGGUGCCGUAACUUCGGGAGAAGGCACGCUGAUAUGUAGGUGAAGCGACUUGCUCGUGGAGCUGAAAUCAGUCGAAGAUACCAGCUGGCUGCAACUGUUUAUUAAAAACACAGCACUGUGCAAACACGAAAGUGGACGUAUACGGUGUGACGCCUGCCCGGUGCCGGAAGGUUAAUUGAUGGGGUUAGCGGUAACGCGAAGCUCUUGAUCGAAGCCCCGGUAAACGGCGGCCGUAACUAUAACGGUCCUAAGGUAGCGAAAUUCCUUGUCGGGUAAGUUCCGACCUGCACGAAUGGCGUAAUGAUGGCCAGGCUGUCUCCACCCGAGACUCAGUGAAAUUGAACUCGCUGUGAAGAUGCAGUGUACCCGCGGCAAGACGGAAAGACCCCGUGAACCUUUACUAUAGCUUGACACUGAACAUUGAGCCUUGAUGUGUAGGAUAGGUGGGAGGCUUUGAAGUGUGGACGCCAGUCUGCAUGGAGCCGACCUUGAAAUACCACCCUUUAAUGUUUGAUGUUCUAACGUUGCCCGUAUCCGGGUUGCGGACAGUGUCUGGUGGGUAGUUUGACUGGGGCGGUCUCCUCCUAAAGAGUAACGGAGGAGCACGAAGGUUGGCUAAUCCUGGUCGGACAUCAGGAGGUUAGUGCAAUGGCAUAAGCCAGCUUGACUGCGAGCGUGACGGCGCGAGCAGGUGCGAAAGCAGGUCAUAGUGAUCCGGUGGUUCUGAAUGGAAGGGCCAUCGCUCAACGGAUAAAAGGUACUCCGGGGAUAACAGGCUGAUACCGCCCAAGAGUUCAUAUCGACGGCGGUGUUUGGCACCUCGAUGUCGGCUCAUCACAUCCUGGGGCUGAAGUAGGUCCCAAGGGUAUGGCUGUUCGCCAUUUAAAGUGGUACGCGAGCUGGGUUUAGAACGUCGUGAGACAGUUCGGUCCCUAUCUGCCGUGGGCGCUGGAGAACUGAGGGGGGCUGCUCCUAGUACGAGAGGACCGGAGUGGACGCAUCACUGGUGUUCGGGUUGUCAUGCCAAUGGCACUGCCCGGUAGCUAAAUGCGGAAGAGAUAAGUGCUGAAAGCAUCUAAGCACGAAACUUGCCCCGAGAUGAGUUCUCCCUGACUCCCUGAGAGUCCUGAAGGAACGUUGAAGACGACGACGUUGAUAGGCCGGGUGUGUAAGCGCAGCGAUGCGUUGAGCUAACCGGUACUAAUGAACCGUGAGGCUUAACCU